rnacentral:rRNA from 1 species
UACGGGGGGGCAAGCGUUGUUCGGAAUUACUGGGCGUAAAGGGCUUGUAGGUGGCCAACUAAGUCAGACGUGAAAUCCCUCAGCUUAACUGGGGAACUGCGUCUGAUACUGGAUGGCUUGAGAUUGGGAGAGGGACGCGGAAUUCCAGGUGUAGCGGUGAAAUGCGUAGAUAUCUGGAGGAACACCGGUGGCGAAGGCGGCGUCCUGGACCAACACUGACACUGAAAAGCGAAAGCCAGGGGAGCAAACGGG